CUUCUGAAUAGAAAUACUGCCCCUAAAAGUUAAACUAGUGUUGUCCAAAGCAAAGCAAAGGGUAAAGUCAAGCUCCUUGGGCAUGAUGCUGAAAAGAGACAGUAUGAGACAUGCGAAGUUGUAAUGUAGAGGGCCUUUAGGAUGCAGUGAUAUUUUCCUGAAUUGGGGCUCAGUAGCUGGUAUUUUGGGGAGCGCGGUCGAAGUCACAUCAGGGUUUUGUGAGAAUGGUUGAACAAGGAAUCAGCAGGGGAACUGUAAAGCUUUCUUUGCUUAGGCUUAGUCGGUUGUACAACCCUGAGAUCUCAGAAAAAUGAAACUAUGGAUAAAGCAUCCCUUUGCUUCACUUCAGCUGUUUUACUUUGUCACAAAAAAAAAGUUGGAGCACUCUAUUGGAAAGAGCCAAGUGUUUUGGUUGCUGUAGACAUGUAAGAUGGAGCUCAGUGCUUUCCACACGCACCUGGGGACUUGACUCGUGGAAGCCGUAUCCUGCCAGAAACCAGUCCUUAGCCAAGCAAUUCUGGACAAUUCCUGGCAUACAGGAGAGCUGAUAAAGUUGACAGGAGCAUGACCAAGGCUUUGUGUGUGUGUGUUUGUACAGCUUGUGCUUGUCAGGAGGCAGAACUUUCUUUCACUGGAGUAAUACCCUGGUGGAUGCUGCACUGUUGAUGUACGGAGGUUGGCUGUUUGCUCCUUGGUCACUCUCUGCCCCGUGGGCAGGGUGCUGAGCCACCAGGACCUCCCUAGACCCAGCGUGGCCAUCCCUCCAGCACUACCUGCAGGGAGAGGAGCUCAGAGAGCAGCAGCAUCUUCACUGUGUGCUUGACCCAGAUAGUGACAGGAAGAAAAAAGUUCCUUGUGGUUUUGCUACAAACACUGGUGUUUUGCUUUCCACCGAGCAGCGGUGAGCCAAGGAGGCAGCUGCUGCAGCAGGCCUACACUUUUUUGCAAGAAAGUCACAGUGCCACGUGUGCUUGCUGAUUCAAUCUGGGAGGAGGACAGAGAGCAGACACAGUGGUGCCACUCCUUUUGCUGAACACCAGACAGGACCAUCAGACUGUAAGAGACCUGUCUUAAGAAAGAUGGAGGUGGCCCCCAUCUUCCUUCCACGUGCUGCUCUGCCAAGGUUUUCUCAUUCUGAUCAACAUCUCCAAGCUUGGGCUCAGUCUGCCAAUAUCUCCUGCCUCAUGAGUGAUAGCACUGCAGAGUGGAAUGGAUCACAUUCAAAAAGCUGGUCUGUACAAGCGUUUUAA
rnacentral:lncRNA from 1 species